AACGCUAGCUACAGGCUUAACACAUGCAAGUCGAGGGGCAGCAUGGUCUUAGCUUGCUAAGGCUGAUGGCGACCGGCGCACGGGUGAGUAACACGUAUCCAACCUGCCGUCUACUCUUGGCCAGCCUUCUGAAAGGAAGAUUAAUCCAGGAUGGCAUCAUGAGUUCACAUGUCCGCAUGAUUAAAGGUAUUUUCCGGUAGACGAUGGGGAUGCGUUCCAUUAGAUAGUAGGCGGGGUAACGGCCCACCUAGUCAACGAUGGAUAGGGGUUCUGAGAGGAAGGUCCCCCACAUUGGAACUGAGACACGGUCCAAACUCCUACGGGAGGCAGCAGUGAGGAAUAUUGGUCAAUGGGCGGAAGCCUGAACCAGCCAAGUAGCGUGCAGGAUGACGGCCCUAUGGGUUGUAAACUGCUUUUAUACAGGGAUAAAGUUAGCCACGUGUGGCUAUUUGCAGGUACUGUAUGAAUAAGGACCGGCUAAUUCCGUGCCAGCAGCCGCGGUAAUACGGAAGGUCCAGGCGUUAUCCGGAUUUAUUGGGUUUAAAGGGAGCGUAGGCCGUCUGUUAAGCGUGUUGUGAAAUGUAGAUGCUCAACAUCUGAAUUGCAGCGCGAACUGGCAGACUUGAGUGUGCGCAACGCAGGCGGAAUUCGUGGUGUAGCGGUGAAAUGCUUAGAUAUCACGAAGAACUCCGAUUG
rnacentral:rRNA from 1 species